UACGUAGGGGGCAAGCGUUGUCCGGAUUUAUUGGGCGUAAAGCGCGUGUAGGCGGCCAGAUAGGUCUGCUGUGAAAACUCGAGGCUCAACCUCGAGCUGUCGGCGGAAACCAUCUGGCUAGAGUCCGGAAGAGGAGAGUGGAAUUCCUGGUGUAGCGGUGAAAUGCGCAGAUAUCAGGAAGAACACCGAUGGCGAAGGCAGCUCUCUGGGACGGUACUGACGCUGAGACGCGAAAGCGUGGGGAGCGAACAGG
rnacentral:rRNA from 1 species